GAUGAACGCUUGCGGCGUGCUUAACACAUGCAAGUCGAACGGUGAAGGCGGAGCUUGCUCUGCUGGAUCAGUGGCGAACGGGUGAGUAACACGUGAGCAAUCUGCCCCUGACUCUGGGAUAAGCGCUGGAAACGGCGUCUAAUACUGGAUACGAGCUGCGAAGGCAUCUUCAGCAGCUGGAAAGAAUUUCGGUCAGGGAUGAGCUCGCGGCCUAUCAGCUUGUUGGUGAGGUAAUGGCUCACCAAGGCGUCGACGGGUAGCCGGCCUGAGAGGGUGACCGGCCACACUGGGACUGAGACACGGCCCAGACUCCUACGGGAGGCAGCAGUGGGGAAUAUUGCACAAUGGGCGAAAGCCUGAUGCAGCAACGCCGCGUGAGGGACGACGGCCUUCGGGUUGUAAACCUCUUUUAGCAGGGAAGAAGCGAAAGUGACGGUACCUGCAGAAAAAGCGCCGGCUAACUACGUG
rnacentral:rRNA from 1 species